ensembl:snRNA U6 U6 spliceosomal RNA
GUGCUCACUUUGGCAACACAUACAUAAAAACUGGAACAACACAGAGAAGAUUGGUGUGGCCCCUGGGCAAGGAUGAAAUGCACAUUCACGAAGUGUUCCAUAUAUUU